ACACUUACCUGGUUAGGGAGAUGCCAUGAUCACCAAGGUGAUUUUUCCCAGGGUGAGACUUACCCAUCAUACCCCAGAUAUGCUGACCCUCACUAUACCCCAAAUGUGGGAAUCUCAACUGCAUAAUUUGUGGUAGUGGAGGACUGUAUUUGCACUAUUCCCUG